rnacentral:rRNA from 1 species
UAAAGUUGUUGCGGUUAAAAAGCUCGUAGUCGGAGGUGUGUCUCGGACGGUCGGUUCGCCGCUUGUCGGUGCUCAACUGGCCGGUCCGGACGUCCUGCCGGUGGGGCCGCAAGGCUCCGUUAUCCUUCUUUGGUCCUCUUCACCGAGUGCCUUGGUGGGCCGGCACGUUUACUUUGAACAAAUUAGAGUGCUCAAAGCAGGCCGUUGGUCGCCUGAAUACUGUGUGCAUGGAAUAAUGGAAUAGGACCUCGGUUCCAUUUUGUUGGUUUUCAGAACUCGAGGUAAUGAUUAAUAGGGACGGACGGGGGCAUUCGUAUUGCGACGUUAGAGGUGAAAUUCUUGGAUCGUCGCAAGACGAACCGAUGCGAAAGCAUUUGCCAAGAACGUUUUCGUUGAUCAAGAACGAAAGUUAGAGGUUCGAAGGCGAUCAGAUACCGCCCUAGUUCUAACCAUAAACGAUGCCAGCUAGCCAUCCGCCGAAGUUCCUUCUAUGACUCGGCGGGCAGCUUCCGGGAAACCAAAGCUCUUGGGUUCCGGGGGAAGUAUGGUUGCAAAGCUCAAACUUAAAGGAAUUGAC